rnacentral:tRNA from 1 species
GGGGCCGUAGCUCAGCUGGGAGAGCGCAUGACUGGCAGUCAUGAGGUCAGGGGUUCGAUCCCCCUCGGCUCCAUCA